CAUGUGCUGUGAGCUCGAUGAGUAGGGCGGGACACGUGGUAUCCUGUCUGAAUAUGGGGGGACCAUCCUCCAAGGCUAAAUACUCCUGACUGACCGAUAGUGAACCAGUACCGUGAGGGAAAGGCGAAAAGAACCCCGGCGAGGGGAGUGAAAAAGAACCUGAAACCGUGUACGUACAAGCAGUGGGAGCCCCACCACCAAAGCAUUCUCUGGUGUUGAAGGCCCUGCAAAGCAGCAUCGCGGUGGCGGAGCGUCGUUUGCGACGCCCAACACACAAAACAAGCGGUGAGUGCUUUGGGGUGGGGUGACUGCGUACCUUUUGUAUAAUGGGUCAGCGACUUAUAUUCUGUAGCAAGGUUAACCGUAUAGGGGAGCCGAAGGGAAACCGAGUCUUAACCGGGCGUUAAGUUGCAGGGUAUAGACCCGAAACCCGGUGAUCUAGCCAUGGGCAGGUUGAAGGUUGGGUAACACUAACUGGAGGACCGAACCGACUAAUGUUGAAAAAUUAGCGGAUGACCUGUGGCUGGGGGUGAAAGGCCAAUCAAACCGGGAGAUAGCUGGUUCUCCCCGAAAGCUAUUUAGGUAGCGCCUCGUGAACUCAUCUCCGGGGGUAGAGCACUGUUUCGGCUAGGGGGCCAUCCCGGCUUACCAACCCGAUGCAAACUGCGAAUACCGGAGAAUGUUAUCACGGGAGACACACGGCGGGUGCUAACGUCCGUCGUGAAGAGGGAAACAACCCAGACCGCCAGCUAAGGUCCCAAAGUCACAGUUAAGUGG
rnacentral:rRNA from 1 species